rnacentral:rRNA from 1 species
CGCGAAUGGCUCAUUAAAUCAGCUACAAUUUAUUAGAUCGUACAAAGUUAAAUGGAUAACUGUGGGAAUUCUAGAGCUAAUACAUGCUAAAAGUCUCUGCUCUUCGGGGCAGAGCGCAGUUAUUAGACCAAAACCAUCCGUACCUUCGGGUGCGAAUGUUUGGUGACUCUGGAUAACCUUCAGUGGAUCGCAUGGCCUUGUGCCGGCGACGUAUCUUUCAAGUGUCUGCCCUAUCAACUUUCGAUGGUAGGUGAGUUGCCUACCAUGGUGAUAACGGGUAACGGGGAAUCAGGGUUCGAUUCCGGAGAGGGAGCCUGAGAAAUGGCUACCACAUCCAAGGAUGGCAGCAGGCGCGCAAAUUACCCACUCCCAGUUCGGGGAGGUAGUGACGAAAAAUAACAAUGCGGGACUCUUAGAGGCCCCGCAAUUGGAAUGAGUACACCUUAA